rnacentral:rRNA from 1 species
AUGGAUUUUAUUACGGGAUUGCCCAGGACUCGUUCAGGCUAUGACUCGAUUUGGGUUGUAGUCGAUCGAUUGACGAAAGUAGCUCAUUUCAUCCCAGUAAAGACCACUUACACCAGUGCUAAGUUGGCAAAGAUAUACAUGACCAGGAUCGUAUGUCUGCAUGGAGUUCCAAGGAGUAUCAUAUCGGAUAGAGGAACCCAGUUUACCUCAAAGUUCUGGAAGCAGUUGCAUGAAACUUUGAGAACCAGGCUAGAAUUCAGUACAGCUUUUCAUCCACAGACAGAUGGACAGACCGAGAGAGUAAAUCAGAUUUUGGAGGAUAUGCUGAGAGCUUGUGCGCUAGAUUAUGGAUCUAGUUGGGACGAUAAUUUGCCAUAUGCAGAGUUCUCUUACAACAACAGUUAUCAAACCAGUUUAAAGAUGCCCCCUUUAGAAGCUUUGCACGGAAGGAGGUGCAGGACACCGUUGUCAUGGGACGAAGUUGGAGACCGCCAGUUGUUUGGACCUGACUUGAUUAAGGAGUCUGAACAGAAGGUGAAGCUGAUUCGCGAUAGGCUCAAGGUAGCCCAGUCCAGACAGAAAAGUUAUGUAGAUUCUAAAUGCAAGGAGACAGUUUACGAAGUCGGAGACAGAGCUUAUCUUCGAGUAUCUCCACUUCGAGGAACAAAGCGUUUUGGAGUUAAAGGGAAGUUAGCACCACGAUUUGUAGGACCAUAUCAAGUUUUGGAGCGUAUGGGAGAAGUGGCCUACAAGUUGGAAUUGCCCGAAGGAUUGUCAGGAGUACAUGAUGUGUUCCACGUUUCUCAGUUAAAGAAAUGUCACGCGGAGAUGGCUGACAUACCUUUGAGAGACACAAUGCCUUUGGAAACUAUUCAGUUGGAUAACGAUUUGACCUACGAGGAGAAACCAAUUAAGAUCCUCGAGUUUGCCAGCCGAGUUACUCGUAGCAAGGUUAUCAAGUUUUGCAAGGUUCAGUGGAGCCACCACAAGGAGGAUGAAGCCACCUGGGAACGAGAGGAAGAUUUGCUCAAAGACCACCCUCACCUAUUUUGUAGUCAACCCGAAUCUCGAGGGCGAGAUUCAUCUUAA